GAUGAACGCUGGCGGCGUGCCUAAUACAUGCAAGUCGAGCGAACAGACGAGGAGCUUGCUCCUCUGACGUUAGCGGCGGACGAGUGAGUAACACGUGGAUAACCUACCUAUAAGACUGGGAUAACUUCGGGAAACCGGAGCUAAUACCGGAUAACAUGUUGAACCGCAUGGUUCAACAGUGAAAGACGGUCUUUGUGUCACUUAUAGAUGGAUCCGCGCCGCAUUAGCUAGUUGGUAAGGUAACGGCUUACCAAGGCAACGAUGCGUAGCCGACCUGAGAGGGUGAUCGGCCACACUGGAACUGAGACACGGUCCAGACUCCUACGGGAGGCAGCAGUAGGGAAUCUUCCGCAAUGGGCGAAAGCCUGACGGAGCAACGCCGCGUGAGUGAAGAAGGUCUUCGGAUCGUAAAACUCUGUUAUUAGGGAAGAACAAAUGUGUAAGUAACUAUGCACGUCUUGACGGUACCUAAUCAGAAAGCCACGGCUAACUACGUG
rnacentral:rRNA from 1 species